CCUACGGGGGACAGCAGUGAGGAAUAUUGGUCAAUGGACGAGAGUCUGAACCAGCCAAGUAGCGUGAAGGAUGACUGCCCUAUGGGUUGUAAACUUCUUUUGUAAAGGAAUAAAACGAGGCACGUGUGCCUUUUUGCAUGUCCUUUAUGAAUAAGGAUCUGCUAACUCCCUGCCCGCCGCCGCGGUAAUACGGAGGGUCCGAGCGUUAUCCGGAUUUAUUGGGUUUAAAGGGAGAGUAGAAGGGUUGUUAAGUCAGUUGUGAAAGUUUGCGGCUCAACCGUAAAAUUGCAAUUGAUACUGGCAGUCUUGAGUACAGGUGAGGUAUGCGGAAUGCGUGGUGUAGCGGUGAAAUGCUUAGAUAUCACGAAGAACCCCGAUUGCGAAGGCAGCUUACUAAACUGUGACUGACAUUGAUGCUCGAAAGUGUGGGUAUCAAACAGGAUUAGAUACCCUAGUAGUC
rnacentral:rRNA from 1 species